rnacentral:misc_RNA from 1 species
UUAUAAUUUCAAUUAUUUAAAUAAAAUUUCGUUUUCGUGAUCAUGUGGACUAAAGAAUAUGACCGGCUACCCAAGAGCUCUAAAAAAUGGAAUUACAUUUUUUCGUCCAAAACAAUGACUGGAUGGUUUCCUUUAAAUUCUUUUUCUAAAUAUUUAUCUAAAAGUUUUUGUUUUAUAAUCUAUUUUGUUUUCCUUUUCAAA